AGCAGCCGCGGUAAUUCCAGCUCCAAUAGCGUAUAUUAAAGUUGUUGCAGUUAAAAAGCUCGUAGUUGAAUUUCGGGGUCAGUAGGUCGGUMGUGCCACUGGUAUGAACUGGUUUUACUGAUUCCUCCCUCUUGAAGAACUGUAAUGCCAUUAAUUUGGUGUUGCAGGGAAUCAGGACUGUUACUUUGAAAAAAUUAGAGUGUUUAAAGCAGGCUUUAGCUUGAAUACAUUAGCAUGGAAUAAUGAAAUAGGACGUUUGAUCCUAUUUUGUUGGUUUCUAGGAUUGACGUAAUGAUUAAUAGGGAUAGUUGGGGGCAUUAGUAUUCAAUUGUCAGAGGUGAAAUUCUUGGAUUUAUUGAAGACUAACUACUGCGAAAGCAUUUGCCAAGGAUGUUUUCAUCAAUCAAGAACGAAAGUUAGGGGAUCGAAGACGAUCAGAUACCGUCGUAGUCUUAACCAUAAACUAUGCCGACUAGGGAUCAAAGGGAUGUUAAUUUUUUAAUGACUCA
rnacentral:rRNA from 1 species